rnacentral:rRNA from 1 species
CCCUUAGAUGUUCUGGGCCGCACGCGCGCUACACUGAACAGUUCAACAAGUCUUAACCUUGGCCGAUAGGUCUGGGUAAUCUUUGAACGCUGUUCGUGAUUGGGAUAGACCUUUGCAAUUAUGGGUCUUCAACGAGGAAUUCCUAGUAAACGCAAGUCAUCAGCUUGCAUUGAUUACGUCCCUGCCCUUUGUACACACCGCCCGUCGCACCUACCGAUUGAAUGGUCCGGUGAAAUCUCGGGACGGCGGCUCGGUCGCUUGCGUCCGACUGCUGAAACUUGAUUAAACCAUAUCAUUUAGAGGAAGGUGAAGUCGUNACA